rnacentral:lncRNA from 1 species
CCUCUAGUUCACGUCAAAUUUCGCUAAAAGCAGAUUUUAAGAUUGUUAAGUAGAUAUUUUUCUUACAGCGUUUUCUGCAAAACAUACUAUCUACUCGACUUGCUUUGUGGCUAUUAAAAAGGUAAUUUCCUAAGUAGAUCUGAGUUGGCAUAUGAACAAAUACUUUUCUUCAGUAACUACAGAACAUGAUUUGGCAAUUUUUAAGUCCGUGAAUCAGCACAGCGUUACUACAGUGGUACCUGUGCGCAGAGAUGCAAAUGUUCUUGAGAUACUAACAGAUGGAUAUUAGUCUUCAUGUCCCACAUAGAUUUCAGUAAGUGUUACACAUACCUGUGAGCCAGAUGCCGAAUAGAUUUUUUUCUAUUAAUUUCAUUCCUUUGUUAGAGGAGAAAUAAACUAGUUUUAAAAUGUUUGUAUAUAACUCACUCACAGUUACAAUUCUUCAUGUAUUGCACAGAAGGAUUAAUUUUUUAAAAAUAUAUACUGUGGGUUGGAAAUAGAUAUUUAAUCUUGGGGAAACCUUUAGAAGAUGUUUGUAGAACAAUUUUUGUUUUGAAGAUUUACAGCAAUAACCAGAAGGAAGAGUAAGAAGGCAGAAAAAAAAAUAGUCUGGGGUGAUUUCUUUUCAAACCAAUUUUUCUUGUUAAUUUACAGUUAAACCUAGGGGGCAAUCCGGAUUGGCCCUCCCCCUUUUGUAAAUAACCCAGGAAAUGUAAUAAAUUCAUUAUCUUAGGGUGAUCUGCCCUGUCAAUCAGACUUGGGGAGAUGGCGGUUUGAUUACAGAUAUUCAGGCCUUCGGUUUGUUUUCGAGAUAAAGCAGGUUCCUAUCUGCCGCUCCUAUCUAGAGGCAACACUUAAGCAGUAAUUGCUGUUGCUUGUUGUCAAAAUUUGAUCAUUGUUAAAGGAUUGCUGCAAAUAAAUACACUCUAAUUUCAGUC